rnacentral:rRNA from 1 species
UACGUAGGGUCCGAGCGUUGUCCGGAAUUACUGGGCGUAAAGGGCGCGCAGGCGGCUCUGAAAGUCAGAUGUGAAAGCCCCGGGCUUAACCUGGGAAUUGCAUUUGAUACUCUGGAGCUUGAGUACGGGAGAGGAGAGUGGAAUUCCCAGUGUAGAGGUGAAAUUCGUAGAUAUUGGGAAGAACACCGGUGGCGAAGGCGGCUCUCUGGAUCGUAACUGACGCUGAGGCGCGAAAGCGUGGGGAGCAAACAGG